CCCGCCUUGUUCAUGGCUACCAGAAAUUCAUCGCUACCAGAAUGCUUAAAUUAACGCGAUCUUUUUGUGUCAAGACAGCAUCUUUCUAAUUUAAAACCUAUAAAUUAAUUGUAUAGAUCAACGAAUUAAGAGGGAAAACUUGUUGAUAAUUUAGAACUUGCCAGCUAGUGCUAUGAAAAUGCCGGUGACAGCCGGCUGCUAUUUUAAACCCUGGGUAUAUUAUAUUAC